CUGGAGAUGAAGUGUCUAGCUGUCUUGGAGUACAAAAGGUCAUAUCUAUCUUCAUUUAAAUAGAACUUUUUAUCCAACUUUCUAUAUGUAAUACUGUUCACUGAGCUGUUGGAACUAAACAAUUGCUUCAGAUUCCAUAUGGAAGGAGAGACACUUGCAAUGCAGAUCCAACUAUAACGGUUUACCACCCUUCAAGAGGAAUUAUAAGGAGAGGAAUGACUGGGAAAUCCUGCAAGUGUAGCAAGGACUAUGCCUGUCUUUCCCAAGAUGAAAAAGAGAAAGACCGUGAAGCAAAGAGCCUUUCCUAAGAGGAAUGUCCACCAUAAUCAUGAGUUGUUGCUGGAGACAGAAACAUAUACAGCAUUUUUUCUCAAUUCAUCAUGAUCAAUUUCAAGUCACCUUGGACAAUGAGUUCUAAAAUAAUCCCUGAUUACUUUGCAAGAGUUAUGGACAAAGUGCCUUCUAAUUCAUCUUAUGUAAUUUUCUUUAGAAAGAUCAAAAUCUAGGUAUCAACACCCA
rnacentral:lncRNA from 1 species